rnacentral:rRNA from 1 species
ACUUAAAUUGAAGAGUUUGAUCAUGGCUCAGAUUGAACGCUGGCGGCAGGCCUAACACAUGCAAGUCGAGCGGUAGCACAGAGAGCUUGCUCUCGGGUGACGAGCGGCGGACGGGUGAGUAAUGUCUGGGAAACUGCCUGAUGGAGGGGGAUAACUACUGGAAACGGUAGCUAAUACCGCAUAACGUCGCAAGACCAAAGUGGGGGACCUUCGGGCCUCAUGCCAUCAGAUGUGCCCAGAUGGGAUUAGCUAGUAGGUGGGGUAACGGCU